rnacentral:rRNA from 1 species
AUACGGAGGGUCCGAGCGUUAAUCGGAAUUACUGGGCGUAAAGCGCGCGUAGGUGGUUCAGUCAGUCAGAUGUGAAAGCCCCGGGCUCAACCUGGGAACUGCACCUGAUACUGCUGAGCUAGAGUACGGUAGAGGGCAGUGGAAUUUCCGGUGUAGCGGUGAAAUGCGUAGAGAUCGGAAGGAACACCAGUGGCGAAGGCGACUGCCUGGACUGAUACUGACACUGAGGUGCGAAAGCGUGGGUAGCAAACAGGAUUAGAUACCCUGGUAGUCCACGCCGUAAACGAUGUCAACUAGCCGUUGGGGGACUUGAUCCUUUAGCGGCGAAGCUAACGCGAUAAGUUGACCGCCUGGGGAGUACGGCCGCAAGGUUAAAACUCAAAUGAAUUGACGGGG